rnacentral:rRNA from 1 species
CUACGGGAUGCUCCAGUGAGGAAUAUUGGUCAAUGGGCGAGAGCCUGAACCAGCCAAGUCGCGUGAAGGAAGAAGGUUCUAUGGAUUGUAAACUUCUUUUGUAAGGGAAUAAAAAGAGUUACGUGUAACUUAUUGUAUGUACUUUACGAAUAAGGAUCGGCUAACUCCGUGCCAGCAGCCGCGGUAAUACGGAGGAUCCAAGCGUUAUCCGGAUUUAUUGGGUUUAAAGGGUGCGUAGGCGGACCCAUAAGUCAGUGGUGAAAGUUUGCAGCUUAACUGUAAAAUUGCCAUUGAAACUGUGGGUCUUGAGUGUAAAUGAGGUAGGCGGAAUGUGUUGUGUAGCGGUGAAAUGCUUAGAUAUAACACAGAACACCAAUUGCGAAGGCAGCUUACUAGAAUACAACUGACGCUGAGGCACGAAAGCGUGGGGAUCAAACAGGAUUAGAUACCCGUGUAGUC